rnacentral:lncRNA from 13 species
AUACUUAGUUGUCCGUUCCCUCAUUUUCUCACAGAUUUUCAUGAUGGAGCAGCCUAUUUCCAUCUGUUUCACUCCUGUAGGGAGGUUGGUGUGGGAGGAACUGACUUCUCAAACUGAACAGGUAGCCAUUCAUAUGCAGAUACUUCAGAUGUUUCCUUAACAUUUGAACACAGACCUGUGUAGUUCAACUGCCAACCCUUUUAGUAUCUAUAAUGCAGUGGCCUCCACUUGCGAUCCUCCCUAUAUGUCUGUCACUCCUUCAGGCUACCAGUCUAUCAUUCAAACGGACUCUUAAAUUGAUCCUGUCUUGUUCCUUAGUAUGUGGAUGAGGAGGUUCAGCAGCAGCCCGAUCUGACUUUAAUCUCUUGGUCUGGACCUCAGUGGGUUUCAAGUGCCGUGAGUCCAUCCAUGCUGAUACUCUCUGGUCUUUAGGGGGGCUUAAACAUAAACAUAACGUUCUCUGAAGAAGAAAACAACGUAUGGAAAUGCAUUUCUGUCAACAUAUUCCCUUUUGUUAUAGCCUGUCAAACUGCAGCCAACGUAUUACCUUACCCAUGCUGGGAACACGCUGGUGAGAGAGCUGUCAGUAUUAAAUACACAGAUUUUCAUGAUGGAGCAGCCUAUUUCCAUCUGUUUCACUCCUGUAGGGAGGAUGGUGUGGGAGGAACUGACUUCUCAAACUGAACAGCCAAAUAGUGAAGACUCUGGUUUUCCCUUUGAGAAGAUGCAGUUGGUUGGGAACUGGGGUUCGUUUAAUUUCCAUACCUGGAUAAUCCGUUAUGGACGAGUGCAGGUACUUCAGACAUAUUCUUAACAUUUAUGAACACACCUGUGUGUUUUAACUCCCAUUUGUCUCUGGAGAUUAUUUUGUAUGUCUGGUCCUAAUUGAAACCUAGAGGAAAGUUGUUGUAC